rnacentral:tRNA from 1 species
GGCCGGGACGCGGACGUUCGAACUCAUAACCCGAAGGUCGCAGGUUCAAAUCCUGCCCCCGCCACCA